ACUAGUGUAGUGUAAUGGUUCAAGCAUUAGACUAUGACUCUGGAGACCAGGGUUCAAAUCCCUACUCAGCUA